CCUACGGGAGGCAGCAGUGAGGAAUAUUGGUCAAUGGACGAGAGCCUGAACCAGCCAAGCAGCGUGAAGGAUGAAUGCACAGCGGAUUGUAAACUUCUUUUGUCUGGGAAUAAAAUCUUGGACGUGUGGCCGGUUGUAUGUACCUGAUGAAUAAGGAUCGGCUAACUCCGUGCCAGCAGCCGCGGUAAUACGGAGGAUCCGAGCGUUAUCCGGAUUUAUUGGGUUUAAAGGGAGCGUAGGGGGAUUGUUAAGUCAGUGGUUAAAGUCUGCGGCUCAACCGCAGAAGUGCAGUUGAAACUGGCAGUCUGGAGUACAGUAGAGGUGGGCGGAAUGCGCGGUGUAGCGGUGAAAUGCUUAGAUAUCACGAAGAACCCCGAUUGCGAAGGCAGUGCACCGGACUGCCACUGACGCUGAGGCACGAAAGUGUGGGUAUCAAACAGGAUUAGAUACCCGGGUAGUC
rnacentral:rRNA from 1 species